CAUGCUCUGUUGCUGACUCGAUGGGGGACAAUACAAAUCCCCUUGGGGUAUGUGCACGCAUGUAAUAUCGUAUACAUUUCUAUCUACAUGUGCACUUUUGUAGACAGUCGAUAUGUUCUGGAGUGUCAAACUCCGUUGAAGGGAUUGCUGUGUUGUAGCUCAGCUUCUCUUUGCAUAAUCACUUACUGUCUAUAUGGUUGUCCAUAAACAUAUUUGUAACAAUAUUCUGAAUACACUAUAGAAAGAAAAGGGGGCCUGUUGGCUUUUCUUUUUUCUCUAAAAGUAAACAAAACAACUUUCAACAAUGGAUCUCUUGGCUCUCGCAUCGAUGAAGAACGCAGCGAAAUGCGAUAAGUAAUGUGAAUUGCAGAAUUCAGUGAAUCAUCGAAUCUUUGAACGCAUCUUGCGCUUCUUGGUAUUCCGAGAAGCAUAUCUGUUUGAGUGUUGUAAAAUCAAUCAACUGCAUAUAAAAAGCUUUUGCUUUAAAUUCAGUUGGAUUGUGGAAGUUGCUGGCAUGCUGAAAGCAAGCCCAAGCUCUUCUGAAAUGAAUCAGCAAAGUACCUUUAUACUGUACGUGCUCAUUGGUAUGAUAGGUUGUCUUUUUUGUGCCAUUGAGCUCAUCACACAUAAAAAGGUGUUUGGCUUCUAACAUAGUCUGUUCCUUUUUGGACGACUGCUACAAUCUAUAUAACCUCAAAUCAGAUAGGACUACCCGCUGAACUUAAGCAUAUC
rnacentral:rRNA from 1 species